rnacentral:tRNA from 1 species
GGUUCCGUGGUCUAGUUGGUUAUGCUCGUUAACACCGAGAAGGUCCCCGGUUCGAUCCCGGGCGGAACCA